rnacentral:rRNA from 1 species
AUUGAACGCUGGCGGCAUGCCUUACACAUGCAAGUCGAACGGCAGCAUGAUCUAGCUUGCUAGAUUGAUGGCGAGUGGCGAACGGGUGAGUAAUACAUCGGAACGUGCCCUGUAGUGGGGGAUAACUAGUCGAAAGAUUAGCUAAUACCGCAUACGACCUGAGGGUGAAAGUGGGGGACCGCAAGGCCUCAUGCUAUAGGAGCGGCCGAUGUCUGAUUAGCUAGUUGGUGAGGUAAAGGCUCACCAAGGCGACGAUCAGUAGCUGGUCUGAGAGGACGAUCAGCCACACUGGGACUGAGACACGUCCCAGACUCCUACGGGAGGCAGCAGUGGGGAAUUUUGGACAAUGGGCGAAAGCCUGAUCCAGCAAUGCCGCGUGUGUGAAGAAGGCCUUCGGGUUGUAAAGCACUUUUGUCCGGAAAGAAAUGGCUCUGGUUAAUACCUGGGGUCGAUGGCGGUACCGGAAGAAUAAGGACCGGCUAACUACGUG